AGAGUUUGAUCCUGGCUCAGGAUGAACGCUAGCGGCAGGCUUAACACAUGCAAGUCGAGGGGUAAGGUCCGCCUUUGGCGGACACACGACCGGCGCACGGGUGAGUAACGCGUAUGCAACCUGCCUCUUACUGGAGAAUAGCUCCCGGAAACGGGGAUUAAUGCUCCAUGACCCUGCAGCCUCGCAUGAGGCAGCAGGUAAAGCUCCGGCGGUAAGAGAUGGGCAUGCGUGUCAUUAGUUUGUUGGUGAGGUAACGGCUCACCAAGGCCACGAUGACUAGGGGGUCUGAAAGGAUGAUCCCCCACACUGGUACUGAGACACGGACCAGACUCCUACGGGAGGCAGCAGUGAGGAAUAUUGCGCAAUGGAGGAAACUCUGACGCAGCCAUGCCGCGUGCAGGAGGACGGCCCUAUGGGUUGUAAACUGCUUUUCUUGACUAAGAACCAUAGAUACUUGUAUUUAUCUGACUAGUCUUGGAAUAAGCAUCGGCUAACUCCGUGCCAGCAGCCGCGGUAAUACGGAGGAUGCAAGCGUUAUCCGGAUUCACUAGGUUUAAAGGGUGUGUAGGCGGAAUUGUAAGUCAGUGGUGAAAGCUUGCGGCUUAACCGUAAAAUUGCUAUUGAUACUGCAGUUCUUGAGUUCGGCUGAGGUAGGCGGAAUGAGUAAUGUAGCGGUGAAAUGCUUAGAUAUUACUCAGAACACCGAUUGCGUAGGCAGCUUACCAAACCGACACUGACGCUGAGGCACGAAAGCGUGGGGAGCGAACAGGAUUAGAUACCCUGGUAGUCCACGCCGUAAACUUUGAUUACUCGUUGUUGGCAAUACACCGUCAGCGACUGAGCGAAAGCAUUAAGUAAUCCACCUGGGGAGUACGUCAGCAAUGAUGAAACUCAAAGGAAUUGACGGGGGCCCGCACAAGCGGAGGAACAUGUGGUUUAAUUCGAUGAUACGCGAGGAACCUUACCUGGGCUUAAAUGUAGAGUGCAUAGAGUGGAAACACUCUUUUCCUUCGGGACCCUUUACAAGGUGCUGCAUGGUUGUCGUCAGCUCGUGCCGUGAGGUGUCGGGUUAAGUCCCAUAACGAGCGCAACCCUCAUCGCCAGUUGCCAUCACAUAAUGGUGGGGACUCUGGUGAAACUGCCGGUGCAAACCGCGAGGAAGGUGAGGAUGACGUCAAAUCAGCACGGCCCUUAUGUCCAGGGCUACACACGUGUUACAAUGGUCGGUACAACGGGCAGCUACCACGCAAGUGGAUGCUAACCCCCAAAACCGAUCUUAGUUCGGAUCGGAGUCUGCAACCCGACUCCGUGAAGCUGGAUUCGCUAGUAAUCGCAGAUCAGCCAUGCUGCGGUGAAUACGUUCCCGGGCCUUGUACACACCGCCCGUCAAGCCAUGGAAGCUGGGGGUGCCUGAAGUCCGUAACCGUAAGGAGCGGCCUAGGGUAAAACCGGUAACUGGGGCUAAGUCGUAACAAGGUAACC
rnacentral:rRNA from 1 species